AAUUGAGGUGAUAGAAGCGUUGACAAUGCUACGAGAUUUGGAAGAAAUAGUCAGGGGGGGGGACUUGAUGCUGAGAUCGACUAUGAUGAUGAAUUGGGGAAUUCUUCAAUAGAUUCCGAUGCUGGCUGCGAUUCUGAUUAUGAGCCUGAUCUGCCUCAGCGUCGGCGCAAGAGAGUACGAACGAUGCCCACCGUGCAGGUGUCAACAACUCAGAUGGAGGGAGAGGAGAAGGACGGCACGGUUUUGGAUAAAACAGCCAGUGGACAACGCUGCAGGUCGGUUAUGAGCACAGAAUGGCACCCCAUUGGAAUCGGGCCCUACACCUUACGCCAAAGGCAGAAUCGACAGAGCAUUCGACAGCUUCCAUUGUUUGUGACAUGCAGAUGUUGCAGCACAUCAAGGACUGUACUGUAGCUGAAGGGGACGUGGGGCAUGUCUGUGGAUGAGCUGGAAGCGUUCAUUGCGCUCCUGUAUGUCCGAGGACUGUACGUAGGAAUGAACACGCCUUUGGAGAGCUUCUGAAACGAAAAAUGUGGGGUGAUUUUUUUCCCCCCCCGAGACACUAUGCCCACGGAACCGCUUCAGAGAGAUCAUGCGAUACCUGCGUUUUGAUGCAAGAGAGACCAGACGCAUGCACUUGGAAACGGACAAAUUCGCCCUGGUAUCAGAAGUUUGGGACGCGUUUUUACAGAACUGUGUUUCCUCUUAUAAGCCAGGAGUGAAGAUUACCGUUGAGGUGCAAUGGUUCCCCUCAAAAGCUAAGUGCACCUUUACGCAGUACAUCCCCUACAAGCAAGACAAGUGGGGCAUGAAGCUUUUGUUGGCAGCUGACAUCGACAGCAAGUACGUGCUGAAUGUCUUUCCGUAUCUGGGGAAAGGUGAAUCCCAGCUUCCUGAAAAUGUGGUGAUGAGGCUUGUAGAACCUUACCUUGGCGAGGGUAGGAAUGUAAACACAGACGAGAUCUUCACAUCACUGCCAUUGGCAAAUAAGUUGAUUGACAAGAACACAAGCUUAGUCGGGGUUAUGAAAGUGAGCCGGGGGCUGCCUCUCUCUGUGAGCAACCAGGCACAKGCAGAGCUGUUCUCCACAACGGCACGACAAAGCAACACGGUUUACAGACGUAAGCCAAGAGAGAACGUCUGUAUCCUGAGUAAUAAGCUUCCGACAGUUGCUAUUGGCGGUGACACAAAUAGAAAACCAGAGACCCUGACGCACUAUAACAACACAAAGGUUGGUGUGGAUAAGAUGGCCAGACAGUUCAGGGUGAAAGCAGCUACCCACCGCUGGCCUGUUGCCGUAUUCUACAACCUGCUUGACCUGGCUGCUGGGUGAUUAUGCAACUACGGGCACUUCUAUGUCCUCGGAUGCCACAUAAAACAGCACAGAGGUCASAGACAUAGAAACUAAAUAAAAAAUGAUCCUAUACGAUACCAGUAACAUCUGCAAAAAGACAGGGAGAGAUACUGGAAGAAAAAAGAGAAGGGAGAAGUGAUAUCUAUCUCUGAGCUUACAACGCGAGAACAAAGAAACAAGAGAAGGCAAUGGAAAUGGAACCAACGGAAUAGAAGACAGACUUUAAAGUGAAAGGUUGCAAUGGAGACCUACCUAAUCAGGCAACACACCACCUCAGUCACCAGAUGACCUGCAGCCAGAACAUGAGGCUAACAUACCUGCCCCUAACUUACCUGCCCCUGAUGCACACCCUGAUACCCCUUCCUCAUCGUCUGCAACAGGAAUGAGAAGUCGAAUACUUGCUGGACGGAGAAAGGUUGGAAGAGGUCGCUCAAAAGCAUACAGAGAUCUUAGUAUGACAAAUGUCAAACUUGAUAAUGCUUGAUGGAAAGCUGCGAAAUACCCAAAAAAUGUAUGAUCGACUGAUGAACAAAAUGGAGAGACAAGAUUCCCCAAAGACAAAACAGCAAAUGAAGGGAGCUCCAAAGAACUUGAAGGAUUUUAUUGUUUCAAAAUGCCAUCAUUGCAGAGUUAAAACAGAAGUAUAAAAAAAUGUGCAGUGCCAAGGACAAACAAGUGGCUUCAAAAAUGCUCAGAGGCAACAUCCUGAGAAAGUAUGGCCUGGUCAAAGCCGCAAACAGAGAAUUUUGAUUUUCAGCAAAAGCAAUGAGGGCAAAUGAAAACAGGUCAACAAGUCUUCAAUACUCCAGGAAAAAGCAGUGGAACAAUUAGCACAGCCACAGAAGAGAAUCUCUAGAUUCUAUGAACGUGAUGACAACAGCAGAGCAACAACAGGGGAAAAGGACACACUAACGAGGAACAAGAACAAAAAACAGAAGUGCUUCUUGAAUGGCACAAUUCAGAACCUUUAUCAGAAGUUUAAGAGGGAAUAUUCAGAAAUUCAAAUUUCCUACUGUGAAUUCUGCAAAAUAUGUCCUUUUUGGGUUGUCGAGCCAGCAGUCCAGGAUAGGGACACAUGUCUCUGCAAAACCCACACCAACAUCCAGUUCAUGGCUGACAAACUACAGCAUCACAAAGUGAUCCGCUGCAGCAACAUUGAGAACCUUAUUGAGUCUUUGUGCUGUGAGAACCUUAUUGAGAACCUUAUUGAGUCUUUGUGCUGUGAGAACCUUAUUGAGUUUUUGUGCUGUGAGAACCUUAUUGAGUCUUUGUGCUGUGAGAACCUUAUUGAGUCUUUGUGCUGUGAGAACCUGAAGAAGGAGUGCAUGUACCCAGAGUGCUCCCUUUGUCAAGCMAAAGAGCUUAAAACAUCUGACUUUGAUGCUGKUGAGCAGACAUGGUGGUUUGAGUGGAAAAACAAAGCUGAAGAGAGAGAAGAAGAAAAACAAAGAGRGAAACAUGGAGAAGUUCACUGUACAUUUGACAGUAAAAGAAAAGGUGGACCAAGAUGGAAAAUUCAACUMAUCUCAAAGCACCGUCCAGCCCAUUGAMGAUCUAAGUGAAGCAUURAUUGGAAAGUGGUGUGUGGUGGAGUAUGAUCASGAYGUUUACCCUGGUAUCGUGCAAGAUGUUCACGCAGAUUAGUGCUCUUGUGAAAACCAUGAGUCGCKUUGGUCCCCAACCGUUUUAUUUUGGCCAAUGAGAGACGACAUCAUAUGGUACAGAMCACAGCAUGUGCUUGGACUAGUCCCUGAGCCCCAUCCAGUGACCAAAAAGCACAUGGAGCUGGAUGCCUUGAUCUGGGAGGAACUUAGCUCUCUUUCUAAGAAUUAGAUUCCCUUGGAAACUCACUAUACAGUACAUACAAAGCAGGGCAUAAAAUCAUACAUUAAAYAAAACAUGUGUAGCUCUCAAUUAACUCUUCCCUCUAUAUAUGUGCUAGAAUUUCUAUUUGCAGCAUCUCAAGUGCUAGUUCCACUGUUUUGGAAUCUUACUUUGUCUUAUAUUAAUGAAAUGUUUAACAAUGGUUGUUGUUCAAAAUGUUUGCAUUAAAAUAUUGUUUUCAUACGUUUUCUUUA